ACUCCUACGGGAGGCAGCAGUAGGAAAUCUUCCACAAUGGGCGCAAGCCUGAUGGAGCAACACCGCGUGAGUGAAGAAGGGUUUCGGCUCGUAAAGCUCUGUUGUUAAAGAAGAACACGUAUGAGAGUAACUGUUCAUACGUUGACGGUAUUUAACCAGAAAGUCACGGCUAACUACGUGCCAGCAGCCGCGGUAAUACGUAGGUGGCAAGCGUUAUCCGGUAUUUAUUGGGACGUAAAGAGAGUGCAGGCGGUUUUCUAAGUCUGAUGUGAAAGCCUUCGGCUUAACCGGAGAAGUGCAUCGGAAACUGGAUAACUUGAGUGCAGAAGAGGGUAGUGGAACUCCAUGUGUAGCGGUGGAAUGCGUAGAUAUAUGGAAGAACACCAGUGGCGAAGGCGGCUACCUGGUCUGCAACUGACGCUGAGACUCGAAAGCAUGGGUAGCGAACAGGAUUAGAUACCCCUGGUAGGAUAGCG
rnacentral:rRNA from 1 species